GCUGGCGGCGUGCCUAAUACAUGCAAGUCGAACGCACAGCGAAAGGUGCUUGCACCUUUCAAGUGAGUGGCGAACGGGUGAGUAACACGUGGACAACCUGCCUCAAGGCUGGGGAUAACAUUUGGAAACAGAUGCUAAUACCGAAUAAAACUUAGUGUCGCAUGACACAAAGUUAAAAGGCGCUUCGGCGUCACCUAGAGAUGGAUCCGCGGUGCAUUAGUUAGUUGGUGGGGUAAAGGCCUACCAAGACAAUGAUGCAUAGCCGAGUUGAGAGACUGAUCGGCCACAUUGGGACUGAGACACGGCCCAAACUCCUACGGGAGGCUGCAGUAGGGAAUCUUCCACAAUGGGCGAAAGCCUGAUGGAGCAACGCCGCGUGUGUGAUGAAGGCUUUCGGGUCGUAAAGCACUGUUGUAUGGGAAGAACAGCUAGAAUAGGAAA
rnacentral:rRNA from 1 species